ensembl:misc_RNA Metazoa_SRP Metazoan signal recognition particle RNA
GCCGGGCACGGUGGCUCAUGCCUGUAAUCCCAGCUUUCUGGGAGGCUGAGGUGGGAGGAUCGCUUGAGCCCAGGAGUUUGAGACCAGCCUGGCCAACAUAGUGAGACCCCGUCUCUA